GUUUUCGACGCGCUCGCUCCCUUCCCCGCAAACUAUGGUCAGAAGCGAGGGAAGUGGCGGAGAGGGCUGGGUAGCGGGCCGGCCAAUGGGGGCCCGCGGGGGUCGGGAGGGUUCUCAAAGAACGGAGGGGCUGAAAAGGGGAAGAAGAGAGGAACGGGGACGGGGAAGGCGACGCGGCCGCUGAUUGGACCGUUUGAAUGAGACGCCGCCACGGCCCGGCAUACGCGCGGGCGCGCCCUGACGCUGAGGAAGUCGCGCACGCGACUAACGGUCUUCCUGGGGGCUGGAGCGUGGCGAGGGGAGGCGGGACUCGGGGUUUUAAACGCGUGAUGGAAGGCGCUCGGGCCAAUAGGGAUGCGCUUUAGUGACUGGUGGGUCACGAGACUCGCUUGGGCCAAUGGCUGACAGAGACCGGUCAGAGGGCGACCCAGUUUCGUGCAGAUCAAACCGCUGCCAGCCAACGAAAUUCGUUGAUUUUUGUAUAUGCAAAUGAAGUGUGCGCUGCCGCCCGCGCCCCCUCCUUUGAGCCGUGGUGGAGGUGGGCGCUGGAACUCCGGCUACAUUUUUCUAUGAGGCGCCAUUUUGUGCUGGAAAUGCUCUUGGACCCACGUCCUGUAUUGCUAAGGCUCAAAGAUCAGUCAGAAUGACCUUGAAGGCUUGGACAGCCUUGCACUCCGUGUGUGACCCCCACCCCUGCCAGGCUUCAUCGAAGACGCCAGCCUCAGUUUCCUUAUGUGACAAAUGGGCACUGGGAUCCGUUGUGUUGCCAGGGAAAGAAGUCAGAGAGUGCCAAGACGUUUAUUCACGGCAUGGUUAUGCCUAUGACUGACCCAUGGCCUCCAGCCACACCCGCCUUCUCUGGGACUCAGUUUCCCUCUCUAGGAAAUGGACACAUAGCUGCCUGGAAAAGGGACCGUCUCCAGCCCUCAGUGUCAGUAAAAACGUCAGGCAAUUGCUUGAGAACGGUGGCCAGAGCUCCCUGAGCAGGCCUUUUGGAGGGGCCUAGAGAGGAGGAGGGAAUGCUGAAGUUGGCCUUCCUUUGCUCAUCUGUGCAGUGCGGUCGCAGUGCCCUCUCGGUGUCUCUGCCAGUCUGUGCGUCCACAGCUCUUCUUAGUUUCUUGGCCUUUUUCAGCCAUGGAUGAGAGCAUUAACAUCUGGGCCUAAUUUGGCCACAGGUACCUGAAAAGACCCCUGGCUACCAGCUUCCCGUCAUGGGGCCUCAGCUUCUGAAGAAGGAAUAAGGAAGGUGUGAAAGAAAUCUACAUGGCCAAGGCCAGGCGUGGUAGCUCACGCCUGUAAUCCCAGCACUUUGGGAGGCUGAAGCUGGCAGAUCACCUGAGGUCAGGAGUUUGAGACCAGCCUGGCCAACAUGGUGAAACCCCAUCUGUACUAAAAAUACAAAAAUUAGCCGGGUGUGUUGAUGCAGCCCUGUAAUCCCAGCUACUCGUGAGGCUGAGAUGGGAGAAUCGGUUAAAGCCGGGAUGUGGAGGUUGCAGUGAACUGAGAUCUCGCCACUGCACCCCAGCCUGGGCAACAGAGCAAGACCCUGUCUCAAAAAACAAAAAAGCAAAAAAAAAAAAAAAACAAAAAACAAAACCUACAUGGUCAGGUACAGUGACUACGCCCAUAAUCCCAGCACUUUGGGAGGCCAAGGUAGGUCGAUCACUUAGCCCAGGAGUUCAAGACCAGCCUGGGCAACAUAGUGAGAGACCCCCACCAAUAUGUACAAAACAAACAAACCCAAAACAACUGAAGGAACAGCUACAGCAUAAAAAGUCAUCAUCAUAACUAGUUUGUGGAGAAAUGGCUACAGGUGAUCCCUUCCUGCUCCCUCACCCCAGGUCCAAUCUAUACCAGUUCCUGUUGACGUCAUCUACUGAAUCUCAUCACUUCCCCCCAUCUGCUAUGCCACCAGUCCUGCUUAGAGUCAACGUCAUCCCAUUUUGCCGAUAAGCAUUUUGCUGAUCUUCAAUUUUAGCCUGCUGGGUGUGGAGGAUUCCAACCCAAUUAACAGACAAGGAAGCUGAAGGAGCAGGAGCGUCUACACUCUAGCUGUCAGGAUGCUAUGGGAUACAGCAGAGAAUAAAAGGGACAAAGCCUCGACUUUCAUGGAUCUUACAUCCUGGUGCGGGAGCCAGAUAGCAAGUAAGUCUAUACCAUCAUGUCAGCAAGUGAUAAAGACUGAAGAACAAUCAGCAAGUGAUAAAGACAGGAACAAUUAAUGGGAGGGGGAGGUUUGAGAGGGAGGGAUGGGGCUGCCAUUUUACCUUGGCUGGGCAGGGAGAAUCUGUCUGAGGAAAGGUCAUUUGGGCUGUUGGAAGGUCUAUGGGAAAAGCAUUUUGAGCAAAGGGAACAGCAGGUGUCGAGAAGAUUGUGCUUGGUGCUUUUAGGGAACAUUAGGAGGCCAGCGAGCCUGGGUUGGAGUGAGGCCGAGCAAGUAGAGGGCUCUGAGGUGGGAGAGGUGAGGGGGUGCUGGUGGGCCUCCUAGGCCAUGGUGAAAAGUAUGUCUGUUUUUUGAGCAAUGGGGAGGCAUUGGUGGCUUUGAGCAGAGAAUGACUCCUUCAGACUUAUGAACAGAAACAGGGAGGCCAAUGAGGAGGUGAUUACCUUUGUUCAGGUGGGAUGAUGGUGGCUCCAAGCAGGAUUGGUGGCAUUAGGAAUGGGGGAAGUGAUGAGAUGGUGUCAACAGCAACUGGUAUAGAUUGGACUUGGGGUGAGGGAGCGGGAGGGAUCACCUGUACCCUGAAUAAUCACCUGAAAACCGGGAAGGCAGACCUUUUCCAAAAAGGUUUUCCAAUGCUGUGGUCCACUGGUCUCUGGUCCAACUCACUAAACUCUGCCCUUGUAGCUCCUAAGAAAACUAAUGGGUGUGUUUCCAAAAACAGGCAGUGGCCAAAGUAGGCCCCUGAGCUAUAGUUUGCUCCCUGCUUUACACAUAUCCCACAUGCCCCACCCCAGCUGAAAACUCAAGAGUCCUCCUCCCCACUACAUUUUGCAUAAACCCCAGACUCCCCAAAAACCCAUAAGCCCUUGCACCAUCUCCUGAGGCUCCCUUGCCUUUUUCUGUUUGUUCCUGGAAUACGCCAAGCUUUUUACCCUGAGGACAGUUGGACAGGCUGUUCCCUGUGCCGGUCGUGCUUUUCCCCUUUCCUUCUUCUCAUCUCCUAGGUUUACCCUAACUCGUCACCCCUUCACGGCAGCUUCUCUCCUCUUUCCUCCCCUCCCAUGCUCUCUUUGCUUCAUCCUCUUUGAACUUCAUGAUCUAUCAGGAUUUGCAGUUAUUUGCCUGAUUGUGUGUUUGACUCUUCCCAACUAGAAGAUUAGCCCCAGCAGAGCAGGGAUCUUGUCCUCUGUCCCUAGCAGGGCGCCUGACAGACUGAAGAUGUUAUACAUUCAACCAAUAUUUAUUGAGCACCUACUAUGUGCCAGGCACCAAUCUGGGUGCUUGGGAUUUAUCAGAGAUCAGAUAGACAAAGAUCUUUGUCCUUGGGAUGCAUCAGAGAACAGAUAGACAAAGGGCUUACUGUAGUUGAGGAAGACAGAACCAAAAAUGAAACAUAAUAAAUAAGGAAAACGUGGUAUUUUAGAAGGAACUACAUGUUGUGGUAGGUAGGGAAUACUCUCUGUUAACCAUGUUUUUCCUCUGCUCUCAUGCCACAAUAAUCAACUGAUCUUCAACAAAGCAUACAAAAACAUAAAAUGGGGAAAGGACACCCUACCCGAUAAAUGGUGCUGGGAAAACUGGCAAGCCACAUGUAGAAAAAUGAAACUGGAUCCUCAUCGCUCACCUUAUAUUAAGGUUGGUGCAAAAUAAAUCGAGGUUUUUGCCAUUAUUUUAAUAUUUGCAAGCUAUACAUCUGACAAAGGACUAAUAUCCAGAAUUUACAAGGAGCUCAAACAAAUCAGCAAGAAAAAAAAUGAUCCAAUGAAAAAGUAGGCAAAGGACAUGAAUGGACAAUUCUUUCAAAAGAAGAUAUUGCAAACAGCCAACAAACAUAUGAAAACUGCUCAGCAUCACUCAUUAUCAGGGAAAUGCAAAUUAAAACCACAAUGAGAUAAUACCUUACUCCUGCAAGAAUGGCCAUAAUUUAAAAAAAAAAAAUAGAUGUUGGCAUGGAUGUGGUAUAAAGGGAACACUUUUACACUGUUGGUGGGAAUGUAAACUAGUGCAACCACUGUGGAAACCAGUGUGGAGAUUCCUUAAAGAACUGAAAGUAGAUCUACCAUUUGAUCCAGCAAUCCCAAUACUGGGUAUCUACCUAGAGGAAAAGAAGUCAUAUGCAAAAGACACAUACACAUGCAUGUUUAUAGAAGCACAAUUUGCAAUUGCAAAAAUACGGAACCAACCUAAAUGCCCAUCAUCACCCAAUGAGUGGAUACCGAAAAUAUGGUAUAUAUACACCAUGGAAUACUACUCAGCCGUAAAACAGAAAACAGAAUGAAAUAAUGGCAUUCGCAGCAACUUGGAUGGCCAUUAUUAUUAUUAUUAUUAUUUUCAGACUGAAUCUCGCACUGUCACCUGGGCUGGAGUGCAGUGGUGUGAUCUCAGCUCACUGCAACCUCCGCCUCCUGGGUUCAAGCGAUUCUCCUGCCUCAGCCUCCCGAGUAGCUGGGAUUACAGGCGCCCAACACCACGCCCAGCUAAUUUUUUGCAUUUUUAGUAGAGACGGGGUUUCACCAUGUUCGCCAGGCUGGUCUCGAACUCCUGACCUCGUGAUUCGCCCGCCUCGGCCUCCCAAAGUGCUGGGAUUACAGGCGUGAGCCACUGCGCCCAGUCCUGAAGGCCAUUAUUUUAAGUGAAUUAACUCAGGAAUGGAAAACCAAAUACCCUAUGUUCUCACUUAUAAGUGGGAGCUAAGCUAUGAGGAUGGAAAGACAUAAGAAUGGUACAAUGGGGCCAGCCAUUGUGGCUCAUGUCUGUAGUAAUCCCAACACUUUGGGAGGCCAAGGCAGGCAGAUCACUUGUGGUCAAGAGUUUGAGACUGGCCUGGCCAACAUGGUGAAACCCCAUCUCUACUAAAAAUACAAAAAUUAGCCAUACAUGUUGGUGGGCACCUGUAAUCCCAGCUACUCAGGAGGCUGAGGCAGGAGAAUUGCCUUAACUCGAGAGAUGGAGGUUGCAGUGAGCCGAGAUUGUGCCACUGCACUCCAGCCUGGGCCACAGAGCAAGAUUCCAUCUCAAAAAAAAAAAAAAAAAAAGAUACAAUGGACUUUGGGGACUGGAGGGUAAGAUUGGGAGGGGGUGAGGGAUAAAAGGCUACAUACUGGAUACGGUGUACACUGCUCAGGUGAUGGAUGCACCAGAAUGUCAAAAAUCACCACCAAAGAACUUAUCCAUGUAACCAAACACCACCUGUACCCCCAAAACUAUUGAAAUAUAAACAAUUAAAAUUGUAA